CGCUUAUUCGCUUGACCAUAUAACCCAAAGUUGCCUCAAAAUCUAUAAGACAAUGGAUAAACAUUGCCACUUAAGGCUUGCAAUGAGAAAUUAUUAAUAAAAAGUUCAAACGCUUGCUACAUCAUCAAAUUAUAAAAGAACGCUUCACAGCUCCAAGGCUGAUAAGCAUAAAAAAUGCGCAAACCACAUUCAGAAUAAUUGAUAUAACAUUGGUGGGUCUGGGAGGACUCGAACCACCGACCUCACCCUUAUCAGGGGUGCGCUCUAACCACCUGAGCUACAGACCCAUAAAUACUUUCAUGGUGGAGCCUGUCGGGAUCGAACCGACGACCCCCUGCUUGCAAAGCAGGUGCUCUACCAGCUGAGCUAAGGCCCCCAGAACAAAAAUCGCCAACAUAAACCCAAACCUAUGCCAACAUCAAACCCUGAAUGCAAGUAACUUGUGAGGACGCCUGAUAAGACAAUUAUAUUCACCAUACUCAAAAGGAGGUGAUCCAGCCGCACCUUCCGAUA
rnacentral:misc_RNA from 1 species